rnacentral:lncRNA from 1 species
AUUUUAUUCUGUAACCCAGGCUGGAGUGCAGUGGUGCAAUCACAGCUCACUGCAGCCUCCAGCUCCUGGGCUCAAGCGAUUCUCCAGCCUCAGCCUCCCAAGUAGCCGGGACUAGAGAUGCAUACCACCGCACCUGACUAAUUUUUGUAUUUUCAGUAGAGAUGGGGUUUCGCCAUGGUGUCCAGGCUGGUCUUGAACUGCUGAGCUCAGGCAAUCUGCCCACCUUGGCCUCCCAAAGUGCUGGGAUUACAGGCUUGAACCACCACGCCCAGCUGUCCUGUUUUUAACUUCAGAUACUUAGAUUUGAAUUUGAUUUAAUUGUUCCUAGUCCUUUGAAAGAACCCACCUUCUGUAAAUUACCAUCAUUGUGUAACAAGUCAGCCAAUAACAUCAUUACUCCUCUGCCAACACCUGACGUAUAGUAGGCACUUGAUGAACACUGAUUGAAAGAGAGAGAAGAUAUGAAUAGGUGACCAACUCCAAUAUCUCCAGAAAAUUCUGGAGUCUAAAUGACUUGUGCAAAGUAACCCAGUAAAACAAUCCUAGAGAAAAUAGGAGGAGAGAGCAGAGCAGCUGAAGUAACUGGAGCUACUUCACAGAGUUGUUACGAGGAUUGAAUAGUUAAUAUUUGCAAAGCAUUUGGAAUAAUGCCUGGCACUUUAUAUAGAUUCCAGGCAGGAGACAGUAACCACAGAGUAAUUUGCCGGGGAAGCUUUAUCAAUGUAUAUGGGGAAGAUAGAUCGACAGAAAUAACUAGUAACGGGAGAUUAGCUACUAAAGGGUAAGAACUCUGAAGACAACAGGAAUAGCUGAUACAGGGACUAGUCACUACUAGAGGUGGCCCUCAACUGUUCAGAAAUUUAUUAAAGGCCUGCU